ACACAUGCAAGUCGAGCGGAGUGAUGGUGCUUGCACUAUCACUUAGCGGCGGACGGGUGAGUAAUGCUUAGGAAUCUGCCUAUUAGUGGGGGACAACAUCUCGAAAGGGAUGCUAAUACCGCAUACGUCCUACGGGAGAAAGCAGGGGAUCACUUGUGACCUUGCGCUAAUAGAUGAGCCUAAGUCGGAUUAGCUAGUUGGUGGGGUAAAGGCCUACCAAGGCGACGAUCUGUAGCGGGUCUGAGAGGAUGAUCCGCCACACUGGGACUGAGACACGGCCCAGACUCCUACGGGAGGCAGCAGUGGGGAAUAUUGGACAAUGGGGGGAACCCUGAUCCAGCCAUGCCGCGUGUGUGAAGAAGGCCUUAUGGUUGUAAAGCACUUUAAGCGAGGAGGAGGCUCUUUUGGUUAAUACCCAAGAUGAGUGGACGUUACUCGCAGAAUAAGCACCGGCUAACUCUGUGCCAGCAGCCGCGGUAAUACAGAGGGUGCAAGCGUUAAUCGGAUUUACUGGGCGUAAAGCGCGCGUAGGCGGCCAAUUAAGUCAAAUGUGAAAUCCCCGAGCUUAACUUGGGAAUUGCAUUCGAUACUGGUUGGCUAGAGUGUGGGAGAGGAUGGUAGAAUUCCAGGUGUAGCGGUGAAAUGCGUAGAGAUCUGGAGGAAUACCGAUGGCGAAGGCAGCCAUCUGGCCUAACACUGACGCUGAGGUGCGAAAGCAUGGGGAGCAAACAGGAUUAGAUACCCUGGUAGUCCAUGCCGUAAACGAUGUCUACUAGCCGUUGGGGCCUUUGAGGCUUUAGUGGCGCAGCUAACGCGAUAAGUAGACCGCCUGGGGAGUACGGUCGCAAGACUAAAACUCAAAUGAAUUGACGG
rnacentral:rRNA from 1 species